rnacentral:misc_RNA from 1 species
AAACAGAUUACAUCGGACCUUAAAGCAUUUGAAAAGGGAAACGACCUCCUAAUUACAGAGAGAUUAGAUGAUACACAUAUUUAUUUAUCUGAUACAGCGGGUGCAGCAAUGACACAAAAGUAAACCACUAGCAGCAGAGAGAAGCCCUUGGAAUAGAAAACACACUGAUGAAAUGCUGGAGGAUCCAAGGAAAGACAAGUACUUGAAACACUCUUCAGGAUACUCAAGUUACAUCCAUAGCUGCAUGGUUAAUACAUUUUAGGUUGCAAAUAGAGACCUUGAUUACCUUCAACUUCCUUUAAUAGGGCACUUUGUUGACAAAGCAGUCACAAAUGUCUCUUCAAAAGAUGCCAAGGACAUAGGAGAAUCUACAAGGAUGAAAGCCAAGAGAAAAACCUGGUUCAAUAAAAGAAAAUAGCGAAUUGCUGCCUCACGACGUUUCGGUGACAUUGUAAAAAUGACUUGCCGCAGUUCCUUGAAAUUUUAACACUCUUUAUCAAAUAUGCCAUAUGGUGGGAUUCAUUUUUUAACAAAUUCAAUAUCAACCUCAAGUUAAAUGCUGACCUUACCUAUUAUGUAUAUUUAUAAUGUAUUAUAAGAAAUGUGAGAGAAGAAACGAAGAUGUUGUUCAAUCAAAAUUUAUCAUCUCUUGAUCUGUACAAAUUUGAAAUUUAUUUUUUGGCAUUUGUAAUUAUUAAUGUCUUUAUCUUAAUAAUACCAAUAAUUGAAACAG